GUGCUUGCUUCGGCAGCACAGAUACUAAAAUUGGAAUGAUGCAGAGAAGGAUAGCAUGGGCCCUGUGCAAAGAUGACAUGCAGAUGUGUGAAGCGUACACACAAGCA